rnacentral:rRNA from 1 species
UACGUAGGGGGCAAGCGUUGUCCGGAUUUAUUGGGCGUAAAGAGCGUGUAGGCGGACAGGUAGGUCCGUUGUGAAAACUCGAGGCUCAACCUCGAGACGUCGAUGGAAACCAUCUGGCUAGAGUCCGGAAGAGGAGAGUGGAAUUCCUGGUGUAGCGGUGAAAUGCGCAGAUAUCAGGAAGAACACCCGUGGCGAAGGCGGCUCUCUGGGACGGUACUGACGCUGAGACGCGAAAGCGUGGGGAGCGAACAGG